rnacentral:rRNA from 1 species
UACGAAGGGGGCUAGCGUUGCUCGGAAUCACUGGGCGUAAAGCGCACGUAGGCGGAUCCUUAAGUCGGGGGUGAAAUCCUGGAGCUCAACUCCAGAACUGCCUUCGAUACUGAGGAUCUCGAGUCCGGGAGAGGUGAGUGGAACUGCGAGUGUAGAGGUGAAAUUCGUAGAUAUUCGCAAGAACACCAGUGGCGAAGGCGGCUCACUGGCCCGAUACUGACGCUGAGGCACGAAGGCGUGGGGAGCGAACGGG